AUUAAACUUUCCUUCGGGAAAGAUAUAAAGUGGCGCACGGGUGAGUAACACGUAAGUAAUCUACCUUCGAGUGGGGAAUAACGUCCGGAAACGGGCGCUAAUACCGCAUAACGCAGCGGCAUCGAAAGAUGACAGUUGUUAAAGGAGCAAUUCGCUUGAAGAGGAGCUUGCGGCAGAUUAGCUAGUUGGUAAGGUAAUGGCUUACCAAGGCUUCGAUCUGUAUCCGGUCUAAGAGGACGGUCGGACACACUGACACUGAAUAACGGGUCAGACUCCUACGGGAGGCCGCAGUCGGGAAUUUUGGGCAAUGGGCGAAAGCCUGACCCAGCAACGCCGCGUGGAGGAUGAAGUAUUUCGGUAUGUAAACUUCGAAAGAAUGGGAAGAACUCAAUGACGGUACCAUUUAUAAGCUCCGGCUAACUACGUGCCAGCAGCCGCGGUAAUACGUAGGGAGCAAGCGUUGUUCGGAUUUACUGGGCGUAAAGGGCGCGUAGGCGGCAGAUCAAGUCAGCUGUGAAAUCUCCGAGCUUAACUCGGAACUGUCAGCUGAUACUGUUCUGCUAGAGUGCGGAAGGGGCAAUCGGAAUUCUUGGUGUAGCGGUGAAAUGCGUAGAUAUCAAGAGGAACACCUGAGGUGAAGACGGGUUGCUGGGCCGACACUGACGCUGAGUGCGCGAAAGCCAGGGGAGCAAACGGGAUUAGAUACCCCGGUAGUCCUGGCCUUAAACGAUGAAUACUUGGUGUCUGGAGUCUCUAUAGCUCCGGGUGCCGUCGCUAACGUUUUUAGUAUUCCGCCCUGGGGAGUACGCACGCAAGUGUGAAACUC
rnacentral:rRNA from 1 species